ACGGUGGCGACAGCCUCAGGACAGUUGCGAGCGGGUUCCGGCCCAGCAUCCGGGAGACGGCGGCGAGCGCCCCAGCUGAGUUGACAACCUCAAGCCUUUGAAUUCGAGUGCAGUUUGCAUACCAUACCUGACUCAUCCGGCAGGCCUCGUACACGUUCUGGUCUAGGCAGGAUGGUGCAGCCGUGAUCUGUCAAGCAUAAGGUUGGUAAAUGACACUCCACACGUGGGAGAAAUUUGGCUGAGGGCUGCUUUCACAUGCUGACUUUGCUGGAAGGAUGCUCAUUUCUCCUCCAUGCAUCCCCCAAGGAGGAUGUGGCUCCUUUCCCAGGGUGCGUGCUUCUGUCUUGAGUCCUGACUUCCAUAUUUCCCCAUCCUGUUAUUGGUUGCUUCACCUCCUCCAUAGUGGACGCUUUUUCUGCUUC
rnacentral:lncRNA from 1 species